CUUAAAUGUCAGUUGAAAUUAGAGUAAAUCAAUUACGAAAGUACAACGCAAUUGUUGGAUGCUGCGAGGGUGCUCCGCCACACCCAACAAAAAAAGCUUAUAAUGUAGCCCUGGUACGUGAUGAGCAGCUGUUCGCUAACUCCACCUCUGUUAUGAUCGCUACUCAGCAAUUACAUGAAUUACAUAUGCAGGUGUGUCUGUAUGCGUGUGUUUACUGGAAUGCAAAUAACCUGCUGUUAGCCUUCCAGUUGAAAUUUACAGUUUCCAAAAAACUCUUUGCAAUAUCUUCUUCCGCAGCGGAUGUGCCUUUAAUUGCCAACCAAGUGUGACUUCUCUCUAAAAUCGUUCUAGUCUUGUUCACAGGUAAUUUCUCACCUGUAACAAAACUGACCCUUGGCUGGUUUAAGCUACCUGCUGAGCGAGUUUCAGCUCAUUCAACCUGAGUCACGCAUUACGACUGUUUACAGUUUCGUAUUCUAUUUAUAUAGCCCUGCGGGAUGUAUUCUAUCUAUAUACAUACGUAUGUAAAUACAUAUACAUAUGUAUACAAAUAAUAAAUAUCGAAACUUUACAGAGUCAACCAAAAUA